AGGGAUCAUUGCUGGAACGCGCCCCAGGCGCACCCAGAAACCCUUUGUGAACUUAUACCUUACUGUUGCCUCGGCGCUAGCUGGUCCUUCGGGGCCCCUCACCCUCGGGUGUUGAGACAGCCCGCCGGCGGCCAACCUAACUCUUGUUUUUACACUGAAACUCUGAGAAUAAAACAUAAAUGAAUCAAAACUUUCAACAACGGAUCUCUUGGUUCUGGGCAUCGAUGAAGAACGCAGCGAAAUGCGAUAAGUAAUGUGAAUUGCAGAAUUCAGUGAAUCAUCGAAUCUUUGAACGCACAUUGCGCCCUCUGGUAUUCCGGAGGGCAUGCCUGUUCGAGCGUCAUUUCAACCCUCAAGCCUGGCUUGGUGAUGGGGCACUGCCUGUAAAAGGGCAGGCCCUGAAAUUCAGUGGCGAGCUCGCCAGGACCCCGAGCGCAGUAGUUAAACCCUCGCUUUGGAAGGCCCUGGCGGUGCCCUGCCGUUAAACCCCCAACUUCUGAAAAUUUGACCUCGGAUCAGGUAGGAAUACCCGCUGAACUUAA
rnacentral:misc_RNA from 1 species